UACGAAGGGGGCUAGCGUUGCUCGGAAUUACUGGGCGUAAAGGGCGCGUAGGCGGUCCUUCAAGUCAGGCGUGAAAGCCCCGGGCUCAACCUGGGAACCGCGCUUGAGACUGGCGGACUCGAGUUCGGGAGAGGAUGGUGGAAUUCCCAGUGUAGAGGUGAAAUUCGUAGAUAUUGGGAAGAACACCGAUGGCGAAGGCAGCCAUCUGGACCGACACUGACGCUGAGGCGCGAAAGCGUGGGGAGCAAACAGG
rnacentral:rRNA from 1 species